UACGGAGGGAGCUAGCGUUGUUCGGAAUUACUGGGCGUAAAGCGCACGUAGGCGGCUUUGUAAGUUAGAGGUGAAAGCCCGGGGCUCAACUCCGGAAUUGCCUUUAAGACUGCAUCGCUUGAAUCCGGGAGAGGUGAGUGGAAUUCCGAGUGUAGAGGUGAAAUUCGUAGAUAUUCGGAAGAACACCAGUGGCGAAGGCGACUUCCUGGACCAAUACUGACGCUCAGGUGCGAAAGCGUGGGGAGCAAACAGG
rnacentral:rRNA from 1 species